ACCUGGUUGAUUCUGCCAGUAGUCAUAUGCUUGUCUCAAAGAUUAAGCCAUGCAUGUCUAAGUAUAAGCGUUAUACAAGUGAAACUGCGAAUGGCUCAUUAAAUCAGUUAUAGUUUAUUUGAUGAAGGAAAAAGCUACAUGGAUAACUGUGGUAAAUCUAGAGCUAAUACAUGCCUUGUAAUGCCCGACUUCGGAAGGGGUGCAUUUAUUAGAUUAAAUCCAAUGCCUUCGGGCUUUGGGGAGUCAUAAUAACUUUACCAUCGCAUGGGCUAGUCCCGGCGAUGCUUCAUUCAAAUAUCUGCCCUAUCACUUUGAUGGUACGGUAGUGGCCUACCAUGGUUGUAACGGGUAACGGGAAUAAGGGUUCGAUUCCGGAGAGGGAGCCCUGAGAAACGGCUACCACAUCCAAGGAAGGCAGCAGGCGCGCAAAUUAUCCAAUCCCGACACGGGGAGAUAGUGACAAAAAUAACGAUACAGGGCUUUUUAAAGGUCUUGUAAUUGGAAUGAGUACAAUUUAAAUCCCUUAACGAGGAACAAUUGGAGGGCAAGUUUGGUGCCAGCAGCCGCGGUAAUUCCAACUCCAAUAGCGUAUAUUAAAGUUGUUGCAGUUAAAAAGCUCGUAGUUGAAUUUGGGCCCCGGCUGGGUGGUCCGCCGCAAGGCGUGUACUGCCUUUCAAGCUGGGGCCUACUCCCAUUCAUGAAAUCUAGUGAGCCUUAGGCCGCCGGGGAACAAGCGAAUUUUUUCAAAAAAUUACAGGGUUCAAAGCAAGCCAAAGACUCAACAGAUUACCAUGGAAUAAGCCAAUAGAAAGGCGAACCCCUUGCGGCGGCACCAAGCAGCGCCCAAAUUCAAUACGAACAGCUCAACGGCAACAACAUUAACAAGCUAGAGGUGAAAUUCGCGGAUGCUGGAAACAAACUUCUCCAAAAGCACUCGCCAAGGAUUUAAAAUUAAUCAAACCAAUUACAAGACCGAAAAAGACCAGUACCGUUAUAGUCUUAACAGCAAACCAUGCCAGAUAGGAAUCGGCCGGCGCCUUAAUUGAAUAUGGCCCGAUCGGCACCUCUCCGGAAUCAAACCAUUCCCGUUCCGGGACAACCAUGGUAGCAACUAACGUAAACAAAUUGAAAGGGCACAAACAGGAAUGAAGCAUCGCCGGAACUAGCCAACACGGGGAAACUCACCAGCUCCACAAACAAGAAGGAUUGGAUUGAAGCGAAUAAAUGACCUUACGAGUCGGGGUACAAGGCAGUUCUUAGUUGACCAAGUGAUCCAUCUAGCUAAUUCCCAUAACCAAAAAACUAGAACUGAUAAAUGAACCAGUCGACCUUCACGUUGGAACCUAACAACAGGAAUGGCUAAGCUUAGAGCAACUAUGAACUGGAAGAUCAACCAAGAACGAGCCAAAAACACGUCUGUGAGGCCCUUACAUGUUCGAAAACCCACGCGCGCUAAACUGACAAAGCCAGCCAGUAAGCUCCUACACGGAAAGGUUGGGUAAUCUUCAGAAACAGGCCCCUGGGACAGAGCAUUGCAAUCAGUCCUCAGAAGACAAUUCCUACUAAGCCUAGCCCAGCUUACGUUGAUCACGUACAUCACCACAGACAAACCGCCCGAAGAAACUACCGAUCCAACAGCUGAAUCAGAACCUGGGAGGAAUUCAGGAGCUCCCAACCGCACCAGAAAUGAAAACCUGAACAAACCCCCUCCCUUACAGGAAGUAAAAAUCCUAACAGAUGGCUGUAGCCAACGGCAGAAAGACCAAAG
rnacentral:rRNA from 1 species